rnacentral:rRNA from 2 species
UGCAAGUCGAACGGUAACAGGAAACAGCUUGCUGUUUCGCUGACGAGUGGCGGACGGGUGAGUAAUGUCUGGGAAACUGCCUGAUGGAGGGGGAUAACUACUGGAAACGGUAGCUAAUACCGCAUAACGUCGCAAGACCAAAGAGGGGGACCUUCGGGCCUCUUGCCAUCGGAUGUGCCCAGAUGGGAUUAGCUAGUAGGUGGGGUAACGGCUCACCUAGGCGACGAUCCCUAGCUGGUCUGAGAGGAUGACCAG